rnacentral:lncRNA from 1 species
CCCUGUUGUGCUUAGCAACCUCCCCCCCUUCACAUUUUAAAACAGGAUUCUCUAAAACAGGAUUCUCUUUGGGGUUUAUCUAUACAUUAAGUCUGAUGUAUUGGAAAGAUUUAUUUAUUCUUUUUCCCACAGGGUGAGAAAGAGAUUCUCUUUCCCCCUGUCUAAAAGGCUCAUUUCUGUUUUUUGUUUGUAUGUGAUGGGAAUACACCACCUGUUGCCUGUGUGUAAAACAGAAAGUAUUGACGUUAGAGGCCACAUCUAGCUGCACUUUAAUGUCAGAUUAUUUUAAUUAAAGCCUGAAGCUCCAGUAACAAUAAGGACUUUAGAUUACUUGGUUGCUCUUUGUCAUCCUACAUUAUUCAUUUCUGAAUUGCACAGCCCCGGCUGGGUUGACCAAUUCCAGGCCCAGACCGCCGCUAUCGUGUGACUGUAGGUGUGAACAUGCGGUGAACAACGAGCACAACACUGUGGUGCCUGGGUUCCCCGUAUUUUGUGACACUACAUGCAAACACACAGCUCAACAAGGACGAUCAAUUAUUUUAGCUUUGUUUUCAUUAAAGUUGUUUUGUUGUACUAAUUGCGCACAGCAAACAAGGCCUCGGCUCGGGAGACCGUGCCCUCUCCUCACAGCCAAGAGUCAGAUUGGCACUGGGCAGGCCAAGCCCCCUCCAGCCGGUGUGUGUGUGUCUGUGUCUGUGCGUGUGUAUACCGAGAGGGGGUGCCCCUCUGGCUCCCACCUUCCUCCCCUGAGCCUUGCUCUGGCAGGCCUUCGCUGCAUCCCGCAUUUGAUCCCCAGAUCCAGUCCCCGGAUCGAAGUUCCAGAGCUUGAACUUGAAGAUGGUGAUAGGAUUUGCGCUUUUUCUAUACAGUUUCCAGAAGGACAAGAUAUAAUUCUUUCAUCAAAUGGCACAGAUAUGGAACUAAAUUGUCAUAUUGGCUUCAGAUCAUCUAGGCCAAUUUCGUCUUUAGGGAGUAUAUUCUUCACUGAUGAAGAAGAAAAAAGGCAAGGAAGAAGAGGAGCUGAAGUGGGAAUUUACAGGAAGA